rnacentral:rRNA from 1 species
UACGGAGGGUGCAACCGUUGUUCGGAAUUACUGGGCGUAAAGGGCUCGUAGGCGGCCAACUAAGUCAGACGUGAAAUCCCUCGGCUUAACCGGGGAACUGCGUCUGAUACUGGAUGGCUUGAGGUUGGGAGAGGGAUGCGGAAUUCCAGGUGUAGCGGUGAAAUGCGUAGAUAUCUGGAGGAACACCGGUGGCGAAGGCGGCAUCCUGGACCAAUUCUGACGCUGAGGAGCGAAAGCCAGGGGAGCAAACGGG